ensembl:lncRNA
GUAAACUUAACCAACAGUUUCUCUCAGAAGUGUGGUAUUCUAUCAAAACACAAAUAUCAAACUAACUGUGAGAAGUAGCCCCAAACCGAAAAACGUUAGCCCAAAUGAGCCUUCCAAAAAGCCCAGAAAGACUUGCCUUUUGCAGCCUUGCCUUGUCUCCGCUGUUGUGAGGACAAUCCUGUUUUGAACACUAGAUGGCGAUAUGAACUCACUGAAUUUGGAACCCAACCAGCCCAUCUGUAAUUUCAAAGAGAAAAAAAGAUGAGGAUUUUCCUUAACUGAUUUGAUAGUCUGACACAUAGUGUUAAGGAAGUGAAUUUAUAUGAUGUAACAGCUAUUUCAUUAAGUUUCAGUGAAAAAGAAAGCAUCCUCGUCUGGCAGGCAAACGUGCCUGCUUCUAAAACGUGAGCCAGGGAAAUAGGGAGGCAGAGUACAGUUAGAGGAAAGGGGAAAAGCAGACAGGCUUGCUGGCCGAUUUGACUGCUUCUUGACUGACUUAAAUAUUUUCUUGACUACCUGACAGUCAAAAUGGUGAAGGCAGUUUGUUUGUGUCAACAUAGGGUUAUUUUGUGCACCGACUGCAGCCUGUAUGUCUAUAUUGCUAGAGUUUGUCUGCCUCUUUUGUAGCCUAGCUAUUUGGCCAAGGUGGUUAGGGACGUCUACCACUGAGACCCCAGUCAUCUUGGCCACGGACCAUUUCCUCAGCUCUGGCCAGUCGUUUCACAAAUGCUUGAUCUACAGACACUCCUGCACAUGGAAGUCCAGAUGAUCAGAAAAGCCACCUCACUGCAGGAAGAAAAAAAAAAAAAAGCCACCUCUUGGGGCUUACCUAUCCCAUGAAUGGCAGAUCCCUAGUGUCACUUCUUUCAAAAGACUCAAGUAAAUGCUUCUAAAAGUCAACUCUCUUGAUGAGCAUAUGUUCCUCAACCCUUGAACCAGCCUUUCCCCUCAAACAUGUAACAUACAUGAUUUAUAUCAUACAAAUUCCUCCGGAAGUUCCGUGUAGAAAAUACCAGGACUCCUCACAUUUGUAGUGGACACCUAAAGCUUUUACUACCAAGAGGAUUCUCAGACAUCUUGACAGAGACACGGCAUGUCUUGGAUAGGAUCCAGGAACAGAAAAGCAAAAGCAACAACAAAACCAACCUGAAUGAAGCAUGAGUUUGAUUGGAGCCCUCAUCCAGUGGCUGAUGGAAGCAGAGACAGACAUCCACAGAUAUACGCUGAGCUGAAAUCGGGAAUUUAGUUGAAGAGAGUGAAGAAUGAAGAGCAAAGGGGUCUGUACCAGGUUGGAGAAACCCACAGGAACAGUUGACCUGAACAAGGGAGAGCACAUCGACCCCAGAUGCUGUCUGGGAGGCCAGUACAGUACUAAUCCAGACCCCUGAACAUGGAUGUCAAUAAGAAGGCCUCUGCAUUCCAGGGAGCCUCUGGUAGUGGAUUAGUAUUUUUUUCCCUGGUGUAAGAAGGGACUUUGAGAGCCCAUUCCAUGUGAAGGGAUGCACUCUGGCCCUGGACACAUGGGGAAGGGCCCAGGCCCAGCACAGGAAGAUUUGGUGUACUUUGUGGAGCCCCCGUUGAGGGCCCUACCCUGCCUGGGGAGUGGUGGGUGGAU